rfam:Cavia porcellus supercont2_37 genomic scaffold, whole genome shotgun sequence.
AACAUUUGUGUCUGUUUUAAUCUAACUUGAAGACAAAAAUUUAUGGGCAGGUACAAAACGUAAAUUCUCUUUUGUAACUCCUGGAACCCAGAGCUCAUUAUUCUGUACGAGUUUUCAUGUGUAUGAAAAGGAAUAUU